UAAGACGAACCGUCCAAACGUUAUUCGGAAUUACUGGGCUUAAAGGGUGCGUAGGCGGCGCGGCAAGUUGGGUGUGAAAUCCCUCGGCUCAACCGAGGAAUUGCGCCCAAAACUGCCGUGCUUGAGGGAGACAGAGGUGAGCGGAACUGAUGGUGGAGCGGUGAAAUGCGUUGAUAUCAUCAGGAACACCAGUGGCGAAGGCGGCUCACUGGGUCUCUUCUGACGCUGAGGCACGAAAGCUAGGGGAGCAAACGGGAUUAGAUACCCCGGUAGUCCUAGCUGUAAACGAUGAGCACUUGGUCGGAGACUCCUCCAUAGGUUUCCGGCCGCAGCGAAAGUGUUAAGUGCUCCGCCUGGGGAGUAUGGUCGCAAGGCUG
rnacentral:rRNA from 1 species